UACAGAGGUCCCGAGCGUUGUUCGGAUUCACUGGGCGUAAAGGGUGCGUAGGCGGUCGGGUAAGUCUGAUGUGAAAUCUCACAGCUUAACUGUGAAACUGCAUUGGAUACUAUUCGGCUUGAGAGUUGGAGGGGGGACUGGAAUUCUUGGUGUAGCAGUGAAAUGCGUAGAUAUCAGGAGGAACACCUGUGGUGUAGACAGCUUACUGGACCACUUCUGACGCUGAGACACGAAAGCGUGGGUAGCAAACAGG
rnacentral:rRNA from 1 species